GCCUCCACCGCCUUCUUCCAGGAGGAGGGGCCGUGCGGCGCCUGCCCGGGGGCCCUCAGGCCGCAGGCGGGCGCGAGCUUCAGGGAACUUAGGGGGCUCCCGCCUCCCCGGCCACGCGAGCGGGAACAGUCUCCUCCACUCGGAGCGGCGCCAUCUUCAGCUCUGAGUCACCAGGGCUGGAAAAAUACUAGAUGCGCUACUCGUGGACUCGUGAAUACACUCGUGAAUACAGGCCAUUUCCUGUACCUACAGCCACCCGCUGGCAUGGGAAGAGGACCAUAGUUUCUGUGGCCUCCCUAAGAUGGCCUGCCACCUCUCCUGAUGCUGGUGACUUCUUGUGAUGGUGGGGCAAUAUUAAGUGUUUGAAAAAGGAAGAAGUUCUUAUUCCCAAAGUUGUAUUCAGUUAUCAAAACAACAAUUAUUUUGUAUAAACUGCAUCAGAGACAACUGAAGAUGAAAGAACUACCAUCUCCACAUAUAACUAAUUUGUGCAGUGCACCAGAAAGAACCUGUUUAAAUUUCCAUGCCAAUUUGCAACCCCCAUACUGUGCCAGAUUAUAGAUCCAGACUCCUGUGCCUGACCACUGCCCAUGGCCAACUCUCUGCUGAUGACUGGACUUGACUACACAAGUUGUUGGGUACUUUGACUAGAACACCAACCAAGUCAUUGGAAAUAUAAUGCUUUGUUCUUUCUAGCUCCAAGAUAUGAACAUGUGACAACCCAAACAAACAAAAUCCCAACAAGGUUGUCAGAUAUGCAAAUUACAGUUGACCCUUGAACAACAGAGAGGGUAGAGGUGCUGAUCACUGGCACAGUUGAAAAUUCAAAAGUUUUGACUCCCCUAAAACUUAAUUACUAAUAACCUACUGUUGACUAGAAGCCUACUGAUAAUAUAAACGAUUUAUUAACACAUAUUUUAUAUGUUAUAUGUAUUAGGUACUGUAUUAUAAUAAAGUAAGCUAGAGCAAAGAAAAUGUUAUGGAUAAAAUCAUAAGAAAGAGAAAAGAUAUUUACUCUCCAUUGAAUAGAAAUGGCUCAUCAUAAAGAUCUUCAUUCUCACCAUCUUCAAAUUGGGUAGGCUGAAGAGGAGCAAUAAGAGAAGGGGUUGGUCUUGCCAUCUCAGGUGUGGCAGAGACGGAAAACAAUCCACGUAUAAAUAUGGACCCAUGUAGUUCAAACCUGUGUUGUUCAAAGGUCAACUGUAUUUACUUUAAAUUACUUGUCUGACCUGAGAUUUUCCUGACCAUAAUCCAAGAGAUUGACACCUUUCUAAAGUUUGUUCUUAUGUUUUCCAAAAUGACAACUUGUUUUCCAGA
rnacentral:lncRNA from 10 species